rnacentral:rRNA from 1 species
AUUGAACGCUGGCGGCAGGCCUAACACAUGCAAGUCGAGCGGUAGAGCGAAGCUUGCUUCCCUUGAGAGCGGCGGACGGGUGAGUAAUGCCUAGGAAUCUGCCUGGUAGUGGGGGAUAACGUUCGGAAACGGACGCUAAUACCGCAUACGUCCUACGGGAGAAAGCAGGGGACCUUCGGGCCUUGCGCUAUCAGAUGAGCCUAGGUCGGAUUAGCUAGUUGGUGGGGUAAUGGCUCACUAAGGCGACGAUCCGUAACUGGUCUGAGAGGAUGAUCAGUCACACUGGAACUGAGACACGGUCCAGACUCCUACGGGAGGCAGCAGUGGGGAAUAUUGGACAAUGGGCGAAAGCCUGAUCCAGCCAUGCCGCGUGUGUGAAGAAGGUCUUCGGAUUGUAAAGCACUUUAAGUUGGGAGGAAGGGCAGUAAAUUAAUACGUUGCUGUUUUGACGUUACCGACAGAAUAAGCACCGGCUAACUCUGUG